AACCCAGUAUCACGCUAAAGCGUGUAAUAGACACGCUGGUCCACUAGAGGAUGCGUGUCAAUGUCACGCUUUGCCUCCUCUAGGCGUGAAAAUGACACGCAUUUAUGAGGAUGAUAACCAAUAGGGGGCGAUAAUUUCUUAUUGCCAACAACUUCAACAAGAGAAGCGACGCAGUGAUAUGCGUUCUCUGGAGCUCCAUGGGUCCGGUCAGGACCCACCACCCUUCCCUGUUCACCCACAGUUUAUACUUAUUCUUAGAAAACCAACGGCUCUUUUAAGAGCCACUUCAAUAGACCCUUUUACAGCCCACGUGAUCAAAUAGCCUGCGUGCGCAUUUUGGCAACGGAAGUGAUGUUAUUUCCCAGUGGUUCUAACGUGUAAGCAACUCAGAAAGUUUAUUAAAACGAUUUCCCCACAUCAAAACGUCUGGUUGUAGCAUUUGGUUGCACUAAUAUAAUAUAUGUUUAGUAUUUGGCCAUCUUCUAACGUCUUCUAUCCACUCCACUAUAGUACACGGAUUUGGUAACUGUGUAGAAGAUAAGUCAACUUUUUAAACUAACUUUCUCUGUCUGUGUUGCUUCACUGCUGAUUCUUGCCGUGCUUCCGUUGCCAAACUGCGUGCGCAUACGUUGCCACGUCAUCAUUGUGUACAACAGUAAAAGGGUCACUCACUCACUCACUCUUUCGCAAGCUUCUCUGUUUUCAAUAUUGUUGAAAUGGCUGCUGAGCAAGACAGAGGGAGAGCAAAGGGUGUUAUUUUCAUAGCAGACAUGCUUCUUGCUCAAAUCAAGGCAGAGGAACCCAAGGGCAAAGCAACAGCCAUUAAAGGGAGUACAUUUAAUGUCAGAUAGGUGGAGAAAAUGCUGAAGGAGGUCCACUACUAAAAAGCAGCAGAAGUGAAGAGAUACAAAGCUUCAGCUACAGUCUGUUUAUUGCCUACAGUGAGACCUCCACAUUUCUGCACUUGUGAUCAUGCAAACAUCCAGUGUAGGGCACUUCACCUGCCCGGCAUGUACACCCAACAAUGCUUGCUCUUUGUGCAGAUGGCAACAGAUGGCUACAGAUUCCGUCAGUCAAAAGAAAGGAGCUUCAAGCAGCCACAAACGGAGAGUUCUUUUGAAUAGAUAUUGCUUGCAAGUAUUGGCCGUACCUUGAGAAGGCGUCAGUCUCCAUGUUGGAACUCAGACCUUUACUGCAGAUGAGACCUUUCCUUUCUGUCAUGCAUGCCAAGGCUCAUUCAACCAAGUGUCAGGUGUCACACAUUUGUUAGAUAAUCUGGCAAAAAUCAGGAAGGUGCUGGUACAACUGCAGUUGAGGAGGUCGAAAUGGUCAACAGCUACCUGUCUCGUUGUGGCCUCACAACCAACCAGGAAUGACAUGCUAACUGUCCAUGCUAUUGGGUGGAACCAACGGAAGCAAGAAGGCCUUCAGCAUUAUCCAGCAGAUACAUCAAGAAAGGCUGAGUCUCAGAGACGGGAAGAUUUGAGCAGUGAACUGGGGUGUCCUGAGAACAUUGUGAAUCAGUGGGUACAAGAUGUCAGACAAAAGGCUACUGAUGGAUUUGGUAGGUACCAGAUGUGAUGACCUACACAACCUUCAGAAAUGAAUUGAACAAAUGUUUCUUAGUCUUCAUCGAAAAGCCAGCCUUUAUAAUCACACUGAAUCCAGCAACACCCUCACCAAGAAGAUUUCAAAAGUGCGCCUUCAAGAAGCAAAGAUCAUUGUGAUGAGGGAGAUGAGACACCACUGCACCGCACCUAUCUCAGAAGCCUGGCUAGGAACAUCAGGAAAAUGAUAUCAGAAAUGUCUUCAGGCAAAAACAGUGGCAGUUUAAGUGAAGAGUGUCAUCGCUGGCUACUGUGUCGUCUUCAGAAAAGGCUUGCAGAUGUAGAGAAGAAGUUCCAAGUUUGCUCAAGUUACAGCCAGGCUUUAGGACAGUGUUCUUCACUCCCAACCCCGGAGAGCCGGUGUCCUGCAGACUUUAGCUCCAACCUUAAUCAAACACAUCUGAAAGCUAAUCAAUGUCUUCAUGAUCUCUAGAAAAUCACAGGUACGUGUGUUUGAUUAAGGUUGGAGC